GAUGAACGCUAGCGGCAGGCCUAAUACAUGCAAGUCGAGGGGCAGCACGGUAGCAAUACUGGUGGCGACCGGCGCACGGGUGCGUAACACGUAUGCAACCUGCCUUCAACUGGGAGAUAGCCCGGGGAAACUCGGAUUAAUACCCCAUAACAUAAUUGGACAGCAUUGUUUGAUUAUUAAAGUUCCGACGGUUGAAGAUGGGCAUGCGUUCGAUUAGCUAGUUGGUGUAGGUAGCGGCUCACCAAGGCAACGAUCGAUAGGGGGUCUGAGAGGAUGAGCCCCCAAACUGGUACUGAGAUACGGACCAGACUCCUACGGGAGGCAGCAGUAGGGAAUAUUGGUCAAUGGACGCAAGUCUGAACCAGCCAUGCCGCGUGCAGGAAGACGGCCCUCUGGGUUGUAAACUGCUUUUGAUAGGGAACAAAUGCCACUUGCGAGUGGAGCUGAGUGUACCUAUAGAAUAAGCACCGGCUAACUCCGUGCCAGCCGCCGCCGUAA
rnacentral:rRNA from 1 species